rnacentral:ncRNA from 1 species
AUAAAGUUUAAUUCUGACUUAAAGAUUAAUUUAAUUUUUUUUUUACAUGUAAAUUUUUGUGUGAUUAUUAAUUAAAUUUUAAAAAUUUUUUUAAAAGAGUUUUAUUCGCAGUAUUUAAUAUUAAUAAUUUAAGAAAUUAAGAAUUAGAAAUUAAUUUUAAUAUUAACAAAUUUUGUGCCAGCAGUUGCGGUUAUACAAAAGAUGUAAAUUAAUUUUAUUAGUAAAUAAUUAUAUGAAUUUAUAUAAUAAUUUAAAAUUAUAUUUAUUAGGUGAAAUUUUUAAAUAUAAAUUUAAUUUAUAUUAAAGUUUUUAUUAUUAUGAAAUUUAUUUUUAAACUAGGAUUAGAUACCCUAUUAUUUUAAAUGUAAAAUUUUUUUGCUAAAGAAGUAUUAGUUAUGUUCUUGAAAUUUAAAGAUUUUGGCGGUAUUUUAGUCUAUUUAGAGGAACCUGUUCUAUAAUUGAUAAUCCACGAUUAACUUUACUUAUUUUAUAAAUUUGUAUACCGUCGUUAUAAGAAAAUUUUAUUAGAAUAUGAAUUUUUAAUAUUUUAUAUUAAAAUAUAUAUCAGAUCAAGGUGCAGUAAAUAUUUAAGAAGAAAUGGGUUACAAUAAAUUUAUUUAUACGGAUAAAAAUAAGAAUAAUUUUUUGAAGGUGGAUUUAAUAGUAAUAAAAUUUAAUUUAAUUUUAUGAUUUUAGCUCUAAAAUAUGUACAUAUCGCCCGUCGCUCUUAUUAUAAGAUAAGAUAAGUCGUAACAUAGUAGAUGUACUGGAAAGUGUAUCUAGAAUGA